AAUCCAUGGUGAGGGCAUCUUCUUAAUAGAUCCUUGUACCUUUCCCAUGCAUCGUAGAGUGUUUCUAAAUCCAUCUGCACAAAAGAAGAAAUAUCAUUCUGUAAUU
rnacentral:snoRNA from 1 species